GCCCCCAUCGUCUAGUGGUUAGGACAUUAGGUUUUCAUCCUAAAAACAGGGGUCCGAUUCCCCUUGGGGGUA
rfam:Parcubacteria bacterium GW2011_GWC2_38_7 TT02_C0005, whole genome shotgun sequence.